rnacentral:lncRNA from 1 species
CUCCCUUUGUUUUCAUUUCUUUUGUUUCUUCUAUUUUGUGAAACUUAUUUUUUUAUGUAACACAAUUUCUCUUUGCUGCAAUUUAAGUUUGAUUCUCUGAUAAUUGCAGUCCCCCCUCUCUUAUGAGUUUUACCAAAAUUUUAAUUUUGGAAGAGUCUCGCUACUGCUACCUCGACUAAACCUAUAAAUUAGCUGUUAGAUACCAAAUGUUAGAACAUUGGAGAUUGCACUUAUAAAAAACAUAGAAGCUUUUGAAUUAAACUAUGAUGAAAAGUCAGAUCUUAAUAGUCACUUUGAGUUCAAAUUGCAAACAUGGAUUUUAGUGAGAACAUACGUGAUUGCGUGUGUAUAAAUAUCUAACGAUUUUAUUAUUUAUUUUUGUAUGAUAUGUUUUCAUUGCUUUUAUUGUUUGUUAGCAUACUUUGUGAAAGAAAUCCUUAUGAAGUACGUUUUUCUUCAAUCUCGGUGGAAGUGCGUCAUGUCCAACUAUGUGCAUGGCAUUGUAGGCUUUGAAAUCGAAAAAAGCUUUAGAUCCUUAUUUUUAUUUUCAUUGCCCUUUAUUAGCAUGCUCAUUGAGCUCCAAGUCUUUUGGGGUUCUGUAGUGCUGUUAGAUGGUAUGAGUGAGAGUUUGAAGAUUCAGUGACAUACUAUGAGGAGCAAUCAUACAUUAUACUUUUUUAUAUUUUGUGGAAAAUCAUACGGUAGGUAUUUGUUCCAAGGUAAGCAAGUUGACAAAUCUGAUGUAGCAAAGAACCAAAGACGAAAUGAAAAACUCACAAGAAAAUUGGUGAAUCCAUCAUAGCAUUUAUUGUAUAUCCUAAAUUUCCUUUACCUUAGUAUACUGAGAAUACACAAGGAAUUGGUGAGAAUAAAGAACUUAUAUGUAGUGAUGCAGUAGCAUUUAUAGCAAUCCUUAAGCUCCUUCAGCGGAUUAUACUGAGAAUACCCACGAAAUUGGUGAGCAUAGUAGAAGUUUGCAAUGGACUAAGUUGUUAGAUUAUUAUUAGGAGUUUUUUCCCUUAUUAAUUAGGUAACUUGAUUUAUAGUAGAAUUAUGGUUUCGUCUAGUCGAUAUAAACUAAUGUAAUUUCAUGCUUUUCUAGAGUUGACUGUAUUACUCCCUCAGCCUUAGAAGCAUGUGUGUAAGUGCAAGUUUUUUCCCCCUCCAAAUGAUGGCUUUUUAAUACACAAGUCAAAUUAAAAUGUACUUUAAAUCUAGAAAAAGGAGAGGAGAAAACUCUGAACAAAACAGUGUAUUCAUGUAUCAAGAACCGUAAUGCAGUGAUUCAUCUUUUGACAUAGAAAGAUGAAUGAUCUCAAGCCUAGAUUCGUAUUUUAGACGUUUAAAUUAUAGUAGUAGAUUUUUAGUUAGGAGAAUUUUUUUUUUAAAUUAGGAUUUUUAUUAUAGUAAUAAAUUUUAAUUAGGAGAUUGAUUUUAAUUGGCAAAACUAAUGAUUAUCCCACUAUAGUGGACACUUUUUACUUAAUACAUCAUUGAACUUUUAAUUUUUGCAAUUACCACAUUAAACUAACUAAAAAAGUAAAAUCGAACCAUUUCGUUAAAUUGUCCAAACCUGUCAAACUAUUUCAAGUUUUUUUCCUACAUGGCUGAUAAAAAAAUAGAAAUAGAAAAAGAAAAUAAAAUAAUGACCUGUUCUGCGCCUACAUAGUAUUUUUUUUUUGGUGAAGCACCUACGUAGAGAGCUUCGAAUGUCAUGAAUUAACAACAUUAGAGAACUCGCCACCAGAGAUGGCGAAACCCAACCAGUAGCAUUAGAGAACUUGUCGCGGGCGAUGGCAAACCCCCCUGAACGUUCCCAUCCGACUCAUCAUUUUUUUUAUCGCCGAUCAUCUCUUAGUAACGAAGAAUGCGACGUUAGGAUUUAGGGUUUCUAAAUCCACCAAUUGUUUCUUCAACAAUCUGUCGGUGCCCCCCCCUACCCAAUCCAACCGCCACAGACGACUGCGGUUCAAGGAAUUGGGAUAGAAACUAGUGUUUACUACCGCCGGAGGUGAAGUUUAUUGGGGCCGAUGAGGAUUUUUUACGUGAAGAUGAAGAAUCUUGAUUUGCUGUUCAACAACAAGAUUAUAGUUCAUGGACUUGCAGGGCAGUUUAGACAUUCUAUUUUUUUCACCAGCCACGUAUGAAAUUUCUAGAGCAAAUGUAAUGAGCGUUUAAUUAUUUUAAUAGAAUCGUCUAAUUUCAAUUUCUAAUUAAUUCAAUGUGGUAAUUGCAUUUUUUUUAAAAUUUAGUGUUGUAAUAAGUAAAAUAUGCCAACUGCUGUGGGGAAAUCAUUAGUUUUGCCGAUUUUAAUUAUAAAUUAGAAUUUAAUUAGGAGAUUGAUUUUAGUUAUAAAUAGUUUGAUACUCCGUGCGAGGCACGUGCUAGUUUAUAUCGUUCUUUUCAUAAAUAUUUGAUAAUUUUUUAUUGAUAUGUAUUUAUCAUUUUUUAUUGACAUAAUACAUAUAUAAUGUUGAAGAUAAUUUGAAUCAGCAUAUAACUUUUAGUAUUUCAAGAAGAAAUGUAACGCCCCCAAAUCCAGGUCUGCCCGGAUUCGUCCUUCAAAUAACCUGACUGAUAAUUCAAUUCUCGUGAACAGAUGACCAACUUUCUUUUUCUUCCAUUUUCUUCCAGAAUGAACGGGCAGUGUCUUGACAUUUUUUUUCAAAUACCCCAUCCAUGCUUAUAUGUGAAUCUUUUAUCAGUAUCUCGUUGACUAUUUUCUAUCUCAAUAAAUCUUUCCUGCAAUUGGCCCACGUCAUUAUCCAUGAAGACCAAAAAUAUUAAUUUAGCAUUUAUUCAUUUUUAAUUAUUUUAUUCUUAGUUAAUAAUUACCUGAAUUCUUCAUUUCUGCAAUUGACUAUUUUCGUGAUCUACCUUGUCAAAUUAUAUAUAUAUAUAUAUAUAUAUAUAUAUAUACAUAUAUAUAUAUAUUGGGUUUUACCACUUUUAUCUACUGUUCAUGACGGAUUACUAUUCAUGCCGGAGUACUAUUCAUGACAGAAGUUAAUUUUUCUUGUCCAAAUUUGCCCAAAUCAUUAAUAUUAAUCAUAUUGAUUUUAACAUUAAACAUUUAUUUAUUUAACUUUUCUCCCUUAUUUUGUAAUUUCAAAUGCUCAAAUUAGGAUUCCUAGUUCUUAUAUUCUAGGAUUUUCUUUCCCGUUUUCGCUAAAAGUUUAUGUUCUUAUGCAUGAUUUUUGCUGCAUUAACACAUCAUAUAUUAUUUUACUAUGUUGUGAGGAAUGUAUCAACAUCAUAUAAAAUAUAUAAAAAAGAAUACUUAAAACAUACCUUCUAAUUUUGUUUUUCUACGUUUUUCCCAUUUUUUCUUGUUCUGCUAAUGUUCAGCUGUGGCCUCCUCUUCAUUUUUCUUUCUCACGCCUCUUCUCCCACUCUUAUUUCUGACUUCCCUCUUUUUCCUUCUUUUAGGAAUAUAUAUAUAUAUAUAUAUAUAUAUAUAUAUAUAUAUAUAUAUAUAUAUCUUUACUAGGAGAAUAAGUAGGGAGAAGGGUACGUGUAUAUCUAUAUAUAUAUAUAAUUUAUAUAUAAAUCACUUACCUAGCAUUCAUUUAAUAAGUAGGGAAUGCAGGUGACUCUAUGUAACUCCGUUAGAAGAAGAAUAGGUAGAUGAUACCUAUUUCCCAUGUGAACCUUCAACUAAAAU